rnacentral:rRNA from 1 species
UACGUAGGCAGCAAGCGUUGUUCGGAAUUACUGGGCGUAAAGCGUGCGCAGGCGGUUCGUUGUGUCUGUGGUGAAAGCCCCGGGCUUAACCUGGGAAUGGCCAUGGAAACUGGCGAGCUGGAGUGUGGCAGAGGGGGGUGGAAUUCCGCGUGUAGCAGUGAAAUGCGUAGAUAUGUGGAGGAACACCGAUGGCGAAGGCAGCCCCCUGGGUCGACACUGACGCUCAUGCACAAAAGCGUGGGGAGCAAACAGG